UAGCGGCGAACGGGUGAGGAACACGUGAAGAAUCUGCCCUCCACUUUGGGAUAACACCGGGAAACCGGUGCUAAUACCGAAUAUUGAAACAUAAGUGGCAUCACUGAGUUUUGAAAGAAUUUCGGUGGAGGAUGACUUCGCGGCCUAUCAGCUAGUUGGUGAGGUAAUGGCUCACCAAGGCAACGACGGGUAGCCGGCCUGAGAGGGCGACCGGCCACACUGGGACUGAGACACGGCCCAGACUCCUACGGGAGGCAGCAGUGGGGAAUAUUGGGCAAUGGAGGAAACUCUGACCCAGCGACGCCGCGUGCGGGAUGAAGGCCUUCGGGUUGUAAACCGCUUUCAGUAGGGAAGAAGCGAAAGUGACGGUACCUACAAAAGAAGCACCGGCUAACUAUGUGCCAGCAGCCGCGGUAAUACAUAGGGUGCAAGCGUUGUCCGGAAUUAUUGGGCGUAAAGAGCUCGUAGGUCGUUUGUUACGUCGGAUGUGAAAACCUG
rnacentral:rRNA from 1 species